UUAGUCUAUGGCUGUUGCUUCAACUCAUGACAUGAAUCAAUCUGAACCCACACAUAAAGACAUUGGAGGAAAAAUUAUAAAGUGUUAAAAGUAGUGAGGUGUAAAGACAAACAAUUGGUGUUGUAGGGAGGAGUUUAUGAAGAAUGAAUGGAUUUUAUUUGGAACUUUUGAGAAGCAUGUCAAAGCAGGAUGCUUUGUUCCCAGGAGAAAUCUCGAGGAAUGGAAAGGUUCAAUGCUCAAAUCUAACCUCUGGAUGUGACAUAUAGGAACUAAUUCAUUUUGGAAGGCAAGUCAAGUUGUGGCUAUUGUGAGUUCAUUAAUAGUACAAUUAGUUUAGUUAGAUACCAAUAUUUUGCUUUAAUUAAUGUAUAGUUGAGAUCCACCUUCCAAAACUAGCCCUUUGUUGGGCUUCUGGUUAAUUAGAUUUGUGGCCUUCUUCUUCAUCAUGUUCAUUUGAUGGACAUGAAUGAAGAAAUAUAUGUUUGUAUCUUAA